UUGAGGUAGUAGGUUAUGUUGUUGCACAUAAUACUGCAUUGGAGAUACACCAUGACCUUCUAACCUCUGCA
rnacentral:pre_miRNA from 1 species